CGGUGCCCCCGCGGCGGCAGUCGGCCUUUCCCUCCGCUAGAACACGAGCUGGACAUGGGGGUUGAUGCCUGCGAUCACCGUGUUCCUCUCCCUUUGGAAAGUUGUGGAGUGCGCUGCUGGGCUCCCCUGACGGAGGCUGCAGCAGCCAGGCCUGGCCGCACGUUAGUGCUCGUCUGGGCAUCUAGAGCGUGCUCGGGAAAGGCUGUUCUUCCCUUCCUCAGAGCGGGACAGCGUUGCAGGCGCAGGCAGUGGGGUGGUGCCGGGACAAGCAGAGGAGCUCUCUUCUUUCUCUCUCUGUGUCUGGGAGCUGCAGCUCGGUUUAACCCCUGGAAGGGCUCUUGGCACGGGAGUUUGAGUCUGCACGGGCUGCGGUGCCCCUGGAGAUCGAGCCUGAGCCUUAGAAACCGGCGGCAAGGAAGCAGAAGGGCUGGGAAGUGAAGCGCUCUGGAGCCAGGCUCUUUCCAAACUCCCAGGGUACAAAAUUACAAGCACUAAAGUAAUCGUCAUUAGCGAGGCGUGCGCGCAGCCAAGAAAGCCAAAUGAGACAGGUGGGCACGGCGAUGGCAGCGCCGCUCUAGGAUUGCCCUGCAAUGCCUCUAAAUCCCCGUUUCCAAACUCCAGCAGAACUUUGGAUUUUGUUUUGUGUUGUUAACUUUUGCCCGUGGUGGCUGAUCCCCAUCUCUGGGCCACUCCAGGGAAGGGGACAUCCUCCGGGCACCAGGCUGCUUGCACUCAUCAGCCCGUUUUUCCCACCGCUCUCCAAACAAUACAAAGUUUUUCUUUCCAGUAACUUUUGGCUGUCUGCGUGAAGUGACCAUUUCCAGAGAAAUCCUUGUUUCUACUGCUGAGCAGGACCUGCUGGCACAGAAGGAAUGGAUGGAACAAAACAUCAUGUUGUGCAAGAGGACUGAAAAUGCUGGCUUUGAGAAGAAAAGCAGCCCUGGAAAUAGUAAGGGAGGGUGAAUGUUUGGGUUGUUUUCCCAUGGAAAAGGUUUACAACCUUUUCCUCCGCCUCCAGCACAGAUGGGCUCUUCAUCCCUCCUCGAAGGGAGCAGCAUAUCCGAGCUGUUCCCAUUCAGAGGCAGAGUUGGUUAUCUCCCUCCCUCUCCUCUGGUUAUUCCUAUCAGAUACCCGGCACAUGAGUCUUGGAAACCUUUUGGUUCUCUGUGCCCACAUCCUGUGGGAUUGAGCUAGAAGACACAACCACCUUUACUGUGUGUGCAGAGCGGGCUUGGUUGGGAUUUCACAGACAUGGGCUGGGCACAUUCGUGGGGCCACGUGGGACACUUGGCACCACCCGCAGCUUUCUGAUCUGGACCCAACACUUCGCCAAAAGCCCCGCUGAGCCACAGAGAGCUGCUGCUGACAGCACAGGAUUAACAAUGGACUGCCAACACCCCCCUCCUGCACGUGUGCUGAGAAGAAAUCCCAGCUGGGUGAAAAAGUUUGGCAGUGAGAAGGGAGGGCCCCAGGAGCCUUCCUUCAGAGGGAAUGGGUGCCUGGAGGGAAACUCUGGGGCAGCCUGAGCCAGAGGAGCAGAUCACACUGCCUGGCCUGAUGCUGCUCCAGGAGACAGCUGGGUGGAAAAUGGUACCUGGAAGGGUGGGACACUGCAGCUGAACCAGAAUCACUCUCAGGCAGGAUGUGCACAGCUCCAGGGGUGCUCCCAACACCCACUUCUCUCCCUCCAGUGCACUAUGCCCUGGGACAUGCAGCCCUUCCAGACAGAUUCCCUGCUGCCUCUGGUUCUGUUCCAGCCUCCCAGUGCUUGUGUCUGACCUCAGUUUGGCACAGCCACGCCAGUCCACCCCCAGAGCACAGGGGAAAGCUUCUCCCUGUGCCAGUCCUAGAAAGACACUGGCAUCCCUCACUUUUGUAGGCUCCAGCUGAACAAACACAGGUGCUGCUCUUCACACCCGCCAGCUGCCCUGCUCUGGGGCACGAGCUCUCUGGCUGGCUCUAGGGCUUCAUUUGCACAAGCUGCCUGUUUUAUUCUCUCAUCCCUAAGCCUCAGGCUGCUGCUGCUGCUCCAGGACUGGCAUUGCUUGCACCUGAAGGCACUGGGGCUGCCUGACAGCCCAGGAGUUCCCCCUAAUUUUUCUGCCCUACAUGCCAGCUCAGAGGGGAUCCAGAAGCACAGAGGAGAUGCCUGCACCCCCAAAUCCUGCAGCAAAAGGCAGCAGCAGGCAGAUCCCAUGGCCAGACAGGAGCCUGAUAUCUUGAGGCUUGUCAAGGCCCUGGGAAAAGAGGCAGGAGCUUGGAGCAGGGUGGCUUGUGCCCCCCUAGCUACGCCAGCUCCUUGGGCUGCCUUCCCUCCUGACACUAUCCUGCCUGCCCAGGAAAGCUUCCUGCAGCCUGGUUAUCUCUGCCUCAGCCUCACCCAGGCCAGAAGAAGCCCAAAACACAACCCUGUGCUCCUCAAAGUCCACGUGUAGCCAGGGAUGGGGCCAGCUGGUUUUUAGAGAUCACAGCCCAUGCAAAGCCCUGAAUUCCCUCCUUGUCCUGCCCAAUGCCCCCACGACAGCAAAGAGGACUGGUCACUGGUGGUAUAUUUAUAUAUCAAUACAAAUAAAACCAAAACAACUCCCAAAAAAGUAACAACAACAAAAAGGUUUCUCUGAGAGCAAAAUAGGAACAUUUACAAAUACUUCUGGCUCUGGCUUGGAUCAAGUUAAUGUUAAAUACAAAAAAAAAUAAAAACAAACACAAAAAAAACCCCAAAAGAAAAUGAAACAAAACCUCCCAAACCCCAUGCCCCCCUCCCCCAAGAUUAUAAAAAAAUAAGAAUAUACACAUUCAAAGAGCUUAUUACAGUAUAAAGUUGGGGAGGCCCAGGCAGUGGCGGGGCUGGGGCAGAGGCUCGGUGCCUCUCCAGGGUUUGGGGUUUACUCUUGCUCAGCGCUUUCCCAGCCCAUGACUCAAGGCAGGGCUGGGCCUGCGGGUUCCCAGGGGCAGCUUGGGAAAGCCGGGCAACCUGGAGAGCCGGUCGGUCCCCAGGGCCCCGUCACCCUGUCACCCUGUCACCUCGUACCUAGUGACUCCCUCAGCGGCACCCAAGGGCAGGGGAUGCCUGCCAGCUCAGCACCCUCCAGACAGACAACCCAAUCCUCCAGAUCCUCCCAGGAGCACUGCUGCUAUCUCUCUCUGUGGGGAGGAUGAGACAAAGAAACAGGGGGGACACCAUCGGGUAUCCUUGUGCCUCCAGCGGGAUGGGCACAGGAGGGGGUACUGGGUCCCAACGCUGCCCGUCAGGGGAAAUAAGGGCAAGGGGGAAGACAAGACAGAGCCAGGACCAAACUCACCGCUCCAGAGAUCACAGCAGUGAGGUG